UACGUAGGCAGCGAGCGUUGUUCGGAGUUACUGGGCGUAAAGAGUGCGUAGGCGGUUUUCUAAGUUUGGUGUGAAAUCUCCCGGCUCAACUGGGAGGGUGCGCCGAAGACUGGAAGGCUUGAGUAUGGGAGAGGUAAGCGGAAUUCCUGGUGUAGCGGUGAAAUGCGUAGAUAUCAGGAGGAACACCUGCGGUGUAGACGGCUUACUGGACCAUAACUGACGCUGAGGCACGAAAGCGUUGGGUAGCAAACAGG
rnacentral:rRNA from 1 species